GAAGGAUCAUUACCGAGUGUAGGGUUCCUAGCGAGCCCAACCUCCCACCCGUGUUUACUGUACCUUAGUUGCUUCGGCGGGCCCGCCAUUCAUGGCCGCCGGGGGCUCUCAGCCCCGGGCCCGCGCCCGCCGGAGACACCACGAACUCUGUCUGAUCUAGUGAAGUCUGAGUUGAUUGUAUCGCAAUCAGUUAAAACUUUCAACAAUGGAUCUCUUGGUUCCGGCAUCGAUGAAGAACGCAGCGAAAUGCGAUAACUAGUGUGAAUUGCAGAAUUCCGUGAAUCAUCGAGUCUUUGAACGCACAUUGCGCCCCCUGGUAUUCCGGGGGGCAUGCCUGUCCGAGCGUCAUUGCUGCCCAUCAAGCACGGCUUGUGUGUUGGGUCGUCGUCCCCUCUCCGGGGGGGACGGGCCCCAAAGGCAGCGGCGGCACCGCGUCCGAUCCUCGAGCGUAUGGGGCUUUGUCACCCGCUCUGUAGGCCCGGCCGGCGCUUGCCGAACGCAAAUCAAUCUUUUUCCAGGUUGACCUCGGAUCAGGUAGGGGUACCCGCUGAACUUAA
rnacentral:rRNA from 1 species